GAUGAACGCUGGCGGCGUGCCUAAUACAUGCAAGUCGAGCGAAUGGGUUAAGAGCUUGCUCUUAUGAAGUUAGCGGCGGACGGGUGAGUAACACGUGGGUAACCUGCCCAUAAGACUGGGAUAACUCCGGGAAACCGGGGCUAAUACCGGAUAACAUUUUGAACCGCAUGGUUCGAAAUUGAAAGGCGGCUUCGGCUGUCACUUAUGGAUGGACCCGCGUCGCAUUAGCUAGUUGGUGAGGUAACGGCUCACCAAGGCAACGAUGCGUAGCCGACCUGAGAGGGUGAUCGGCCACACUGGGACUGGGACACGGCCCAGACUCCUACGGGAGGCAGCAGUAGGGAAUCUUCCGCAAUGGACGAAAGUCUGACGGAGCAACGCCGCGUGAGUGAUGAAGGCUUUCGGGUCGUAAAACUCUGUUGUUAGGGAAGAACAAGUGCUAGUUGAAUAAGCUGGCACCUUGACGGUACCUAACCAGAAAGCCACGGCUAACUACGUGCCAGCCGCCGCGGUAA
rnacentral:rRNA from 1 species